AUUAGCCUGCGGGCGGUAAAGAAAUUAAAGAACGUUUUAAAAAGAUGUCACUGAAGCAGGAAAAGGAUCGGGAUGAGUGGGAAAUACGAAAUGGAUAUCCGCAACUUGAAGUUGAAAAUUUUCCUGAACCGACCUCCGGAAACUUACCAUCUUGAACCGAGGCAAAUGUACGAGCGUAAAUUAAGUUGGUCCUCCACCCGGCGGCGUCCGGCGUUCUGGAGAUGAUAAGAAGAAAGUUCCCUUUAUUUCAAUUAGCUUUCUUCCGAUGUUGGAGAUAAAUUUACCACGAAACGCCACCGCAAAGCAAUGCAAAUAUCACCACCGCACAGUUUUCGUUCGACUCUGUUAUCAUCGCUGGCUGCGCUUCCGCCAGCAACCGCCCGUACACGCACCGCGAUGCGACUGGCGACGGUGUCUUGUUUGUAUUUACAGAACCGUUUACGGGUAUGCUAAGUAUCAGCAGCAACCAUGCAUCCCAUGGUUCGUCGAGGUCUGAGAGUGGCAGCAGUGGCGAUGCAUCCGCAGGACGGUAAGCAAAUGUAAACAAGCCAUAAAUUGCAGCUCUUCGACGCCCUCGUGUACGUCACACCGCAAGGCUCGCAAGAUGGCAAGAUGGGAAAGUGUGCAAACAUGUAGAAGUACACACUGUGCAGGUCGCGCCGUUUGUUACUAUGUAGGGACGGGCGUCCCUGUUAUCAGAUUAGAUCUUUUGCCUACUGGAAACCAUACUGUCCAUUACGCUCUCAUCACCGGAUGUGGUAUCCCAAGAUGAUGUUGGUGAGCUAGGGAGGGCGUUCUGACGGUUGGGACACGUGUUUCUGUCUUGCUGUACCUGCGAUGACUAGUAAGCAACAAAUUUAGCACUUCUGUCACAGUGCAAUAAGAAUUUUCGCAACCUUCACGUAACAAGGUGAGACGGCGACCGUUGUCUAAUGGAAUCCGAUUGCUGGAACGCGUCUGAAGAUACACAUUUCGGUGUACGAAGGACAGUAAAUAGUAUACUACUCAUCCCCAUUCCCGGUCAAUCAUGUUCAAAUGGGAGGAAAAACAAGUGCAAACGGCCAAAAGCAACCUCACUAGCAGGGCCAAGAGAAAAAGGGGAAACAAUAUAGGCGAGGUACACUAUUUUUAGUUUGCCUGCCUAAUGACGGAUGUCCUCCACCUUCGUCCGUACGCUCAGUACCGUACCCGUCGGUCGUUUCGUUCGUUUGUAAACCUCGUUAGAAAACCGGCGUUCAAUAUCACGGCCGAGGUCAGGUCGUAAUUUAUCUCUGCCGCGACACUGUGGCGGGGUACGCCAUGCCCAUGUGCGCCGGGGUACGCUAACGAAGCCAUAAGCGCCUGGUGGGCUGCUACCAGCCAAUCCAAGGCACACACACACAUACUACCACCGCCACCACAACAACAACAACUUAAUUAGACACAACAUACUAGAGCAACUAUCCUAUGUCCCGGCGACAGUUCGUCGUUCGCACAAGGUGCACAUAAGCGCUUUUUCGCUCGCACAUCACAACCAUUUAGGAGCACCACAAGUGACAAAUUAGCACAGCCCCCCCCCCCCCCCCCCUCUUAGCCCUCGCUAGGGAUAGCAAUGAUACUUGGAGGUGGAACUCAAUUCCACAGCAAAAGCACGUGUAAAUAGAUCGUGUGCACAAUAAAAGUCCUAAGGAUGGACUUCCUAGUAAUA